ACUCAAAUGAAUAGACGGGGGCCCGCACAAGCGGUGGAGCAUGUGGUUUAAUUCGAUGCAACGCGAAGAACCUUACCUACCCUUGACAUCCUGCGAAUCCCGGUGAGAGCCGGGAGUGCCGCAAGGAGCGCAGAGACAGGUGCUGCAUGGCUGUCGUCAGCUCGUGUUGUGAGAUGUUGGGUUAAGUCCCGUAACGAGCGCAACCCUUGCCCCUGGUUACCAUCAUUAAGUUGGGGACUCUGGGGGGACUGCCGGUGAUGAACCGGAGGAAGGCGGGGACGACGUCAAGUCAUCAUGGCCUUUAUGGGUAGGGCCACACACGUGCUACAAUGGGGCGUACAGAAGGUCGCGAACCCGCGAGGGGGAGCCAAUCCUGAAAAGCGUCUCGUAGUCCGGAUUGGAGUCUGCAACUCGACUCCAUGAAGUUGGAAUCGCUAGUAAUCGCGGAUCAGAACGCCGCGGUGAAUACGUUCCCGGGCCUUGUACACACCGCCCGU
rnacentral:rRNA from 1 species